rnacentral:lncRNA from 1 species
UUCGGGUAGAGGUUUAGGCUCGAUUAAGUGUAAAAUUAAACGAGCCGCUCGCCCGACUCGCUAAAACCGGCUCGUUUAGCUAAACGAGCCGGCUCGACUCGACUCGUGAAAUUAAACGAGUCGAGUUCGGGCAGGGAUUUAGACUCGAUUAAUUAAACGAGCCGGCUCGGCUCGAUUAACUUCGGCUCGAAUUACGCCCGGCUCGAAACUCGGCUCGCUCGGCCCGAAUUACACCCCUA